UGUCGGCCAGAGAGAGCUGCUUUCCCCAAGUUUAUGUUUGUUCCCAAAGGCAACUGCAUUCAAUGACAGGUCAGCAUGGAGGUAAAAAUGCCCAGCUCCUUUGCCUCAGUUUGGGACGUCUCUGAAGGCCAGUUCCAACUCCACGGCUCCUACAGGAUUGACUAAGUCCUCUCUUGCAAGCAUGUCGGUUCUAUUCCCACUGCUCAGUUCUGCUUCCCUCCCUGACAGUGACUUUCUGAGAGCUCCCACUAACAAAUCGGACUGCAGAUCUUUUCAUCAAAAUCUGUUUGCCUGGAGACCUGAACAAAGACAAUGUCCUGCCAUCUUUUUCAUUUUUAUAUGGGUGUGCUUUUUCACUGUUUUUCUUUUUGCUUCAGUUUUUAAAAACCUAUUUACUAGUUCACGGAAAAAAACUAGAGCCUAGCCUGGCUCACUGUUGUCAGUUGGACCCAGUCUGCUGUUCAGUUCCUCUUUUAAUUUAUUAAUUUCAGAUACUUUAUUUUUUAUUGACAGAAUGCUGAUUUGAUUUUCUUUUACGGAUUUUAAUUCUCUCUCCACUGUUUGCCCUGUUUGGUCUCUCUUUUUCUCUAUUGUUUUUAACAUAUUAACCAUAGGUGUUUGAAAGUCCUUGUUUGUUACUUCUACUACCUGGGUCAUCUCCCCUCUGUUUUUUUUGUGAGGGUUGGUCAUUUUUCCUCAUCCCUUCAUUUCUAGAAAUUUCAUAAUGCAUGUUGGACAUUGUAUAUAAUUCUAGAGGCUUUAGAUGAUAUCAUCUUCCUUUGUUGGUAAAUAGAAUGAAAGUUGGAGCACCUGAGUCCAAUCAGACAUCAAUCAAGAUUGGGGCUGGGUUUCAGUUUUAGUAAAGUCUGUUCAUUUCUGCUUGCCCUUGCUCGUGUUUGCUGUGCCUCCCUUCUCCCUGCAUGGGGUUUGAUUCUGUGUCGGUGGAUCUAUGUGUCAGAUGUGGAAGACUGCAGAAAACUCAGCUCUGCGUUUCAGAGAUCGGAGCCCAGCUCUCCAGUCUCCAACUUGCUUCAACAUACGGCAACUUUCCUGAAGGCGAGACAGUAUGUUUGAGCAUCUCUGCUCCUGAUUUUCCCUCCUGCCAUGAUGAAGAUAUUUCACAGAUCUGUUCCUGCACUGGCUGACCUGAAGGUGCCUGUCUCUGAACCUACUGGUUUGAAGUUUCUUCAUAUUUCCAUCUUUAGGAUGAACGGAAAUCUGAGCAGGAGGGGUACACCGAUCCAGUCCUUAUGAAGUCAACGG